UACAGAGGUCUCAAGCGUUGUUCGGAUUCAUUGGGCGUAAAGGGAGCGUAGGUGGCGGGGUUAGUCAGGUGUGAAAUCUCGGGGCUCAACCCCGAAACUGCACUUGAUACUGCCCUGCUAGAGUACUGGAGAGGAGAUUGGAAUUUACGGUGUAGCAGUGAAAUGCGUAGAUAUCGUAAGGAAGACCAGUGGCGAAGGCGAAUCUCUGGACAGUUACUGACACUGAGGAGCGAAAGCGUGGGGAGCGAACAGG
rnacentral:rRNA from 1 species